GUCUUCCCUGGGGGCGACGCUCCUUUUCCUCAGGGCGGAGCGGGCGGCGCCAUGGCGGCUUCGGGACAGCGUGGCCCUCGUUCCUGCAGGAGGAGGACGCUCCUCGCUCGCUGUCUGAGAUCCAAGUCACUUUCUGACACUGAGAGUAAACAAGGGGAAAGGCCUUAUAGCCAUUUGAAUAUGUUCAGCCAUGAAGUGAAACAGACUCACUGAAUUCUGAGUCCUGAGAGACAGUGACCCAGGACACAGCCCUACCACCUGGUUGUUCUUAGCAGAGAAAGCCUCACAAAGAUGUUGUGAAAGCCUCACAAAGAUAUCAAGCCCUGGAUAUCAGCCAUCACCUGGGCCAAGUUCUGAAAAUCAGCAUGAAGUCCUGGCAAAGGAUCUGGCCAUUUGACCUCUUGAUAUAUAUCCACAGGAGAUAGCAGAAGAAGAUACCAGGGACAAAAGAAAGGAAGUACCUGAUCCAUCAAGAGAUGCAGAGCGAGAGGAGAAAAUACCACUCCGGCAAAGAGAAACUGCAUCUGCUCCUGCAGGAGACCAAGGGCUGGGCCCCAAUCCACCAGCAAAGUAGGGACCUGUGAGCUGAGUCCAAUUGCUCUAGCCCUGCGAGGAGACCCCAUUCCUACUACUGCAGGAGAAACAGGGCUGACAGCCCUACAGGGAGCCCAUGAGCCUUCUUCUGCAGGAGAACCAGAGCCAGUCGCAUUCCACCAGACAUGGAGGGAAUGCCUGAGGUUGCUUUGCAGGAAAUCAAGGAUUUGGCUCCAUUCCACCACCCCUGCAGAGACACAGAGAGCCUUCACCUGCAGGGAACACAGAGCCAGGUCACAUUCCUCAAGCCCCAUUGUGAGACCUCAAACAUGCUCCUGGGGAGACACACAGGUGGGCAACAUUACACCACCCCUGCAGGAAGACCCCAAGCCAGCAUCUGCAAGAGACUCAGGAAUGGGACCAAUUCCAACAGCCCUGCAAGGAGACCCUGAGCCUGUUGAAUUCCAUCAGUCCAACAAGGGGAAACCAAGAUUGCUUUGGCAGGAGACUCAGAGCCAGGUACUGGUCAAUCAGCCUUGCAAGGAGACCCCAAGCCUCCACCUGCAUGAGAUCCAGGACUGGGACCAAUUCCACUAGCCCUGUAGGGAGACCCCGAGCCUGCUUCUGCAGGAGAACCAGAGAUAGGUCGUAUUUCAGCAACCCUGCAGGAAGACCCAAGACCUGCAACUGCAGGAGACCAAAGAACAGGUCCAAUUCCACCAGCCUUGUAAAGAGAGUCUGAGCCUGUUUCUGCAGGAGACACAGAGUCGAGUGAAGUUUCAAAACCUUGAAGGGAGACCCUGAGCCUGCUGCUGCAGGAGAAGCAGGAUCACGUCUCAUUCCACUAGCCCUGCAGGGAGACCCUGAGCCAACUCCUGAAGGAGACACACAGCCAACCCCUGCAGGAGAACCAUUACUGGGACCCAUUCCACCAACCCUGUAGUGAUACCUGAGGCUGCACCUGAGAAAAAUAAAGAGCCAUGUCACAUUCCACCAGUCCUGCAGGGAGACCCUGAGCCUGCUUCUGCGGCUCCUCCUGCACCUACACCUGCACCUCUAGACAACACAGAGCCAAUUCAGGCAUCACCAGCCCCACGGGCUGAGCUCUGCAACCACCAACGCUGUCAUCUCCUAAUUCACAAAAUCAACCCACUCCCCGACACGAAGUUAAAUUCCCUUCUCUGGUAUCGUUUUCGUUUGUUUUUUUCUGUAAUUUCCUUCUAUUCUUUCAUGUCAUUUACAGCAUCAGCUUUUUGUAAGUUUUAAGUUUACAAUAAUAAAAUUUAGGGUUUUUUUUCCAUUUUAAAUUUUGCAAUUCAGGAGCAUAAAGUGCAUUCACAGUACUGUCGAACAUCACCACUGUCUAGUUUCAGACUAUUUGUUUCCUCAAAAUAAAGCCCUGUAUCCAAAACACACACUCCCCUUCCUCCCUCCCCCAGGUCCUGACCAGCCCUAAUCCCCUUUCUCUCUCUGUAUUUACCUAUUCAGGAUGUUCCCUAUUGAUGAUGUCAUACAAAAGGUAGCUGUUUGUGUUUGCCUACAUAUUUUAACCAGGGAAUGUUGAAUAUUUCUUUUUGGUUGUUUUAUUUGAAAUAGCAUUUUAGUCAUUUAAAAGGGCAAUCCAUGUGGAUUAAAGAUGAGGUAUACACAGUGAAGCUGUUUUAGUAACUAUGUGCCUAAUCUCAGGAUAGGUUCUGCAGUUCUACGUAUGAAACCAGAGUCAGAAGGAAGAUGCUUAGUUCUUUCUGUGAGAAAAUAGAACCAAACAAAACCAACCAACAAACAAAAGCCAAGAAAGACAGCUGAGAAGACAAACCAAAACCUAGAAAACUCAUUUCUCAUAACCCAAGGUUGGAGAAAGGUUUCACAUCCCUGUGGUCAAAAAACAUCUCAAAACCCAGUGUUCUAAAUAGAAAUAGAACAAACACAUGCAGUUCCACCGAGAGGCAAUGCAGGUGGCCAGUUUAUGUUAGAGAUGCUCGGCUUCUCAGGUAAGGACACGUGCAGACAUAAGCACUCUGGAGACAGCAUUGGUCACCAUCACACUGUCAGGUUUUCAGCCUGGUGAUAACCAGCUGUAGUGAAAACAUGAGGAGGCUGAGGACCCAGUAGAUGUCCUGGAGGGAAGAGUGAGCUGACACUUCUCUCUGGGAGAAGUGUGCAGGAUGCAUGAAAGUUCAACAGGUGUAUCCCUUUUCCAGCAGUGCUGAUCCUAAUUGUUGAUUCCACUAAAAUUCUUGCACAAUUUCUCAAAGAUGUUUUUUAAGGAUAUUUAUCAGAGUCCUGGGUAAACUAGUAGCAAAUUGGAAGCCACACUAAUCUUCAUGGAGAGGGGAUGGAAUCCAUCAGUUCUAGUUCACAUGGACACAUGAAUGCUGUACAGCUGGAAAAGUGAGUGCUGGUCUCUGCGUGAUGUCAGGGCAGCCCUCAUGUUGUAUGGUUGUGAAUCUACUAUUUGCAUCCCGGAUGCCAUCUCUAUGAUUACUUAUGUGUGAAGUCUUCAUAGAUGUAAUUGUAUCCUAUGGUGUGUGAAAAAGACAGAGAUUGAAAGAGACAGAAUGAGACAAAGACUAAAUCAUUCAAACCAGAAUGAAAGACUUGCACAAAACCAUUCAUGAGGGUCACUUUGGGGGAUGUUUGCAAAUCUUUACCCUUUUCAUUUAGGUGAUACUUCCAUUUUUUAAAUGUGUCUGUAUUUCAUGAGAAGUUUUAAAGCAUUAACAUAAUAUGUUAAUUGGA